GAUAGCUCAGCUGGAUAGAGCAACGGCCUUCUAAGCCGUCGGUCGGGGGUUCGAAUCCCUCUC
rnacentral:tRNA from 2 species